ACAAGCGUAUCGUUAGGCUCAAGUAUCAUAUUCAGUUUCAAAUUGCGUGUUUUAAGGUCGAUAAAAUUAAAAUUGUUAUCUGUUUAUACCUGUGGCGUAUUUAUGGGGGUAAAUGGAUCAGAUAGAUCUACCCCUAGCCUUUUUUUUUAUGACAACUUUAACAAGCGUGUAUUUACCAACAACUUGAAUAAUUUAAAAAAGGUGGCACACACGAGUUGAAAAAAAUUCGGAAAAUGAAGAGGUUCAAUAUUGAUGACCGAAUGUAAGCAUACAACACUUGAUGUAUCAGACAGUAGCAGUGAUGAAGGUAACCAGUAAUGAAAAGGCUGUAAACUAUACAGAGAAUAAAACACCUUGACUGAAACAAUGCACAGUACAACCAAAUGAAACAUUUCAUUCAUUAUUAUCGGAUCAAAUGAGUAAGCAAUCAUCUUCAGUGAAUCAACUACCAUACAUUCAAUCAAGUUCUUAGUAUCAAGUAUUUUUAAAUUUUUAUAAUUUCAGAGCACACCCAUAACUUAAUACAUUGAAGUUUAAUAUUUAUAAUUAAUUUUACACAUUUCAUACAAAUGGUCUAUCAAACAUCAUAAUAAACUUUAUAUGUCUAUAAUUCAAUUUUAAUGACGAA